rnacentral:sRNA from 1 species
GCACCUCAUAAAACGGGUGCCGGGAUUGGCCUCCUGCUGGAGUUAUCGGCGAUACAUGACGCGCCAGCGUCUUUUUU